rnacentral:lncRNA from 1 species
CUCCAAAUAAUUGGGCUUUCGGCCCUUACAUAAUAAAGCCCAAAAUAAAUAAUAAAACAGGAGUUUAAGGCUUCAUUAAUUAUAAAAUAAUUAGCUCCAAGUCCAAAUCUCUAAACUCUUCCAAAAAUCCAUGCUAAUCUUCAUCAAUUCUCGACUUUCACCGACGUCUUCCAUCCAUGAGCAUCCAUCUUCAAUUCCUCUAAUUCUUGCGCCAAAAUAUCACAAACAUAUAAAAUCAUGGCAAAACAC